GCUCUUCCUGUUUACCGGCAUUCAACAGAGGUCUGUGGUUAAAACACAGCCGUUUGGGCAUUUUAACACCGCUUGUGUCAUUUUGUGGGGCUUUGCGUACACUGGAGAGUCUAUUGUAAACAACCGUUACGUGCGGUCUGGCUCGUUACACUGCCUAGUCCCAGCAUUCCCGUGUGUUUACCGUUUGAGUGGGGACAUCCAAUAUAUGCUGUUUGGCAUCUACUUCAUUUCUAUCCCGUGGAUACUGACGUCAGCUCUGCUUUCUGGUGUGGCAAACGGCUGCGUUAUUUGGUAUGUGUGUUUAUAUUUCCGAUUGCUGUUCAUAAACUAUAACUAGUUUACUAAUCGUCUUCUUAUCUGUUAGGGGCUAAGACUGUGCGUGCUGCAUUUCCCUACUACAUAUAGAAGCACGCUGCUGUUUUGUUCCUGCUGGAUUUGCUUUCGUUUCUUUUCUGUAUAUUUUUGUUGUGUGUUUUCAUCAUUUUGUCCUGGGUGAUUUAGCGCGGCCCGAUUUUGGAGUUGUUGGUUAAAACCUGCUCCUACUGUGACUGUAUUUUAAAGAUCUUUUCCUCGUACGUUGGGAAAUAACGAGUUCAAGGGCCGCGCUCAUUCAGAUAUUAUUUCUUCAUUUUCCCUUUGUGGUGUUUCUCAUUUUGGACUGGUUCAGAAUGCUGAGAUUUUCUCUUGGACAUUGUUGUCUUUAAAUUUAUUUUCCUUUUCCUUUUGUGGUAUUAUCUAGCUGUUUAAGCUAGAAUUUAUUUCUUUUCUUUAUGUUGGAAGGGUUUCUUUUGCUCCCCUGCAUUUAAUAAGUUUUUAUUGAUUAAUUUCUAUUGAUUUGAUUUAUUCUGUUUUGUAUUACAAUUACAGGAGCUGUGUGUCCGACGGCAGUGAGGCUUUCCUUCACCGUGUGCUGUGUUAUGCUGUGUGAGCACCACUGAUAAAAUCACGGGUAUUGGAGUGAGUGUGUGUGUGUGCACUUAGUGUGAUUCUCCUCUUUUGCUCCCUCUCUUAGCCCAUUUGAUGCCAAUAGGCUACAGCUCCGAAGUAAAUGUGAAUCCUUAUUGUGGAUUGUGAUUUCCAGCUUAGUAAUUGGCUGGGUGACUAUUAUUCCUGCAUUUUAAACUUUUGUACUAAUAAACAAACUCUAUUUUGCUACCCACGUCUCUUGCUCAUUUUAUUCAGUGGAAUGAACCUGGGUUCCUUAUAACAUUUUAAGUGAACUGUGAUUCCCUGGUAUAGUCCCAGGGUGGCGUAGUCUAUUGUAUAUCUCUUGAGUGUUGAAUAUUGCUGCAAAAAGACCACUUUGCCACAUUUUGGCGUAGUCGGCAGGGUCCACUAAAUUGAACAGAGACGUGGGUGAAGAUUUCUUUGCCAGCUGGUAUUGCCAUUAUUUGCUUUUCUUUUUAUUUCACAGGAACAAGACAGCAGCGUAGACUCUUUGAAGGGUCUCUUUGGCUACCUCCCCUGAUUGUGUUUCAGGUCCAAAUUUUCUUUCUGCCCCGCCUUGCUUGGUGGUAAGUGUUUUACUAAAAGUUAGCUAUGGCAGAAGAAUUACAAGAACUUCAGGAUCUUGUGGCCCAAUUAAGAGCUGAUAAUGAGAGACUUAGACAAG
ensembl:lncRNA